UACGUAGGGAGCAAGCGUUGUCCGGAAUCAUUGGGCGUAAAGCGCGCGUAGGUGGCUUCGUAAGUCCGUUGUGAAUGUCAAAGGCUCAACCUUUGAAAGCCGAUGGAUACUGCGGAGCUAGAGUACGGAAGAGGCGAGUGGAAUUCCUGGUGUAGCGGUGGAAUGCGCAGAUAUCAGGAGGAACACCAAUAGCGAAGGCAGCUCGCUGGGACGUUACUGACACUGAGGCGCGAAAGCGUGGGGAGCGAACAGG
rnacentral:rRNA from 1 species